rnacentral:rRNA from 1 species
AGCGAACGUUAGCGGCGGGCCUAACACAUGCAAGUCGAACGCGAAAGGUCUUCGGACUGAGUAGAGUGGCGCACGGGUGAGUAACACGUAGGUAAUCUACCCUUUGGCGGGGGAUAACGUUCCGAAAGGAGCGCUAAUACCGCAUAAGACCACGGAGUCUCCGGACGCUGUGGGAAAAGGUGGCCUCUUCUUGAAAGCUACCACCGAAGGAUGAGCCUGCGUCCCAUCAGCUAGUCGGUAAGGUAAUGGCUUACCAAGGCGAAGACGGGUAGCUGGUUUGAGAGAAUGAUCAGCCACACUGGCACUGGAACACGGGCCAGACUCCUACGGGAGGCAGCAGUGAGGAAUAUUGGGCAAUGGGCGAAAGCCUGACCCAGCCACGCCGCGUGAGUGAUGAAGGCCCUCGGGUCGUAAAGCUCUGUGGAGAGGGACGAAAACCCUGGUUUCAAAUAGGCUCCAGGCUUGACGGUACCUCUUUAGCAAGCACCGGCUAACUCUGUGCCAGCAGCCG